GGGGUGGUGUGGUUGGGGUGGGUGAGGGAAGAGGGAAUCUUGACGGAGGAAUGCGAGGGCUUGCUGUUGAAACGGCGUCGUUCCGUUCAUCUUUCCCGGACUUUUUGGUUGAUAAAGUCAAGAUCUGUACGGAUAUAGCUUUAGCUAUCGGGAGACUCGGUUACAUUGGAGACAUGACCCACUAUAAGUUCCUCUAUCCACAUGAAGAGCACUUGUAUAAGGUAGUGAGAUUCUUGGUGAAGAGGCUAUUAUGGGCAUCUAUUGUUCUUAAAUUCCCUGAUCUCAAGGAUGUAACUGGCAUAGGGAAAAUAAAAGAGGUGGGCUUUAUUGAUUAUUAGGAGGACUGGAGGGGGAAAGACGAUAACAAAACGUUAGAUCUUAACCUUCACAAAGAAAUAUUGAAGGAUCUUAGUCUUCAUCCUUCAGAGUUGUCUGAUUCCAAGGUUGAAGCCACGUCCUUCAGUGGGUUA
rnacentral:misc_RNA from 1 species